AGAGUUUGAUUAUGGCUCAGGAUGAACGCUAGCGAUAGGCCUAACACAUGCAAGUCGAGGGGCAGCACAUGAAGUAGCAAUACGGAUGGUGGCGACCGGCGCACGGGUGAGUAACGCGUAUGCAACCUGCCUACAACAGGGGAAUAACCCGUUGAAAGACGGACUAAUACCUCAUAACACAGGGAUCCCGCAUGGGAAUAUUUGUUAAAGAUUUAUCGGUUGUAGAUGGGCAUGCGUUCCAUUAGCUGGUUGGUGAGGUAACGGCUCACCAAGGCAACGAUGGAUAGGGGAACUGAGAGGUUUAUCCCCCACACUGGUACUGAGACACGGACCAGACUCCUACGGGAGGCAGCAGUGAGGAAUAUUGGUCAAUGGACGCAAGUCUGAACCAGCCACGUCGCGUGAAGGAAGACGGCCCUACGGGUUGUAAACUUCUUUUGUAAGGGAAUAAAGUGCAGUACGUGUACUGUUUUGCAUGUACCUUACGAAUAAGGAUCGGCUAACUCCGUGCCAGCAGCCGCGGUAAUACGGAGGAUCCGAGCGUUAUCCGGAUUUAUUGGGUUUAAAGGGUGCGCAGGCGGGAGAUUAAGUCGGCGGUGAAAUUUUGCAGCUCAACUGUAAAAGUGCCUUCGAAACUGGUUUUCUUGAGUGUGGAUGAAGUAGGCGGAAUUUGUGGUGUAGCGGUGAAAUGCAUAGAUAUCACGAGGAACUCCGAUUGCGCAGGCAGCUUACUAAACCAUAACUGACGCUCAGGCACGAAGGCGUGGGGAUCAAACAGGAUUAGAUACCCUGGGUAGUC
rnacentral:rRNA from 1 species